GUGCUCUCUUUGCAACAAAACCUAUGUAACUGUUUCAACCCUUCUACUUGAUUUAAUUUCUUUUUACCCUCCCAAACCAUUUGAAAACCCCAAGAAAGAGAGAGUCUCCUUGAUGAACUCAAAAUAGAUUCAUCAUCAGACCAAAAAAUAUUAAUAAAAAAUUGAAAAAAAAACCUCGUUUCCUGCUCUUCUUUCCCAUUCUUUUCUCUUGUCACUUGGGUUCCUGUUUCUCUCAUCUCCCAAAUCCUAGUCCUCUCUUCUUCUUUAUUAACUCAAAUUCUCAUCUGGGUUGACUGUUUCUUCUCACUUUAGCUCUUAUACAGCUCCAUCUUUACAUGUUUUUUUUUCCUAUUUUAAAUCUGUUGUAUUUCCUCUACAUCUUGGCUUGUUUUCUUAUCUGGUUUCUCAGAUUCCUGAAACACCACCUGGUUACCUUGGCGACGAUGUUUCAUUUGAAGCCCUUUCCACCCUUCGAUCUGUUUGCUGUGCCGCCCGAUCCGGAGCUCCAUUGACGUCCAAGGAUCCUUCAAGAGGUCAGAUGGAGUCUUUCACUUUCUAUCAUUAUUGCUCUAUACAUCUGCUUUAUAUGUGCUUUUAGUUUAUCGGAGAAUCGGUAAACCUACAGAAAUACACGAGGAGGUCUUGGUUCAGUUGUAAUGGAGAAGCUAAGAGUGUUCUUGGCCUUGGUUUCAUAAUGUUUUAGUUUGAUAUAUUGAUGAUGCAUAAUCACCAGAACACCCACCAGGCAGAGGGAUUUGUUGGGUUUCCUCUGUUUCCUUUAAGCUACUUUCCGUUGUACCUGCUCAUGGUGCAAAGCCACAGAAAUCUUCCAUUCCGGAGGUCUCCUAUCUAGUUUGGUCCGUGAUGGGGAACAGCACUUCCCGCGUGGUGAGGUGCUUUGUUCCAGUUGAUAGCGGAAAAGGUGGGGUUGAUUUAGAGUUCUUAGAGCCACUGGAUGAAGGAUUAGGCCAUUCCUUCUGCUAUGUAAGGCCGAUGAUUCUUGACUCUCCUGCCAUAACCCCGUCGAAUUCAGAGAGGUUCACGGUUGAUUCUAGUACGCUUGAUUCUGAAACACUAAGUGGGUCGUUUCGCCAUGAGAAUGUAGAAGACCAAUUGGGUUUACAAAAGCCCAACCGGGGGUUUCCUGAAACAACAUUCAAAACAAUAUCGGGGGCUUCCGUGAGUGCCAAUGUCUCUACAGCUCGUACUGGAAAUCAGAGUGCACUUUUUGCGAGUGAUGCACAAGAGCCUGCUGCAUCAUUUGAGGGCACUUCUUCCUUUGCAGCGAUACCCCUGCAGCCGGUGCCUCGGGGCUCAGGGCCUUUAAAUGGAUUCAUGUCGGGACCUCUGGAGAGAGGUUUUGCUUCUGGUCCUUUGGAAAAGGGAGGUGGGUUUAUGUCCGGGCCAAUUGAAAGGGGAGCCUUCAUGUCAGGUCCUCUAGACGGUGCAGAUAAAACCAACUUCUCAGCACCACUUGCUUAUGGUCGUAGAAAGCCAGGUCUUGGGCGUUUAAUGAGGAGCGUAAGUAGACCCAUGAGGAGUGCCCUCUCUCGGACCUUCUCAAGACGAUCGGUGGGCUCUGGGUGGAUGCAACGUUUUUUCUUGCAUCCAGUUACUCAAUUUGUCUGGCACUCCAAGGAGACAAAGUUUCGACAGGAAGGUCCAAGAAACUGUGUCGAGGUAGGCCUAUCAGAAGGCGAGUAUAGGAAUACCCGCAACUUGCAAUGGGCUCAUGGCAAGGCUGGAGAAGACAGGGUUCAUGUUGUGCUGUCUGAAGAGCAGGGAUGGUUGUUUGUUGGGAUAUAUGAUGGCUUUAGUGGCCCAGAUGCACCAGAUUUUCUUAUGGGCCAUCUUUAUAAGGCUAUUGACAAGGAAAUGGAAGGAUUGCUUUGGGAUUAUGAGGAUAAACCUGUAAGUGACCAACCAAAUUCCCAACUUCUUGAUGCCGGAAAUGCUGCAGCUUCUUCAGAAUCCAGGGAAGAGGAUCAUCCAAAACAUCAAGUGCAUGAACAAGUUGUUUGUGGUAAUUCAGAGCUUGAUCCUAGAACUAUAAAGGCCCAACCAUCUAACAAUGAGAUAAUUGAGGAAAAAGAUGCGACCAUGGAAAUCAUUGAACUGCAGGCAGAUAAGAAAAGGAGUGAAGAUUCAGAUGCAAUGCCAUCUAUUUCAGGCAUAGAAUCGGAUUCCAUUAUGAAUGGAAAAAUAGCUGGUCAAGGUAGGAAAAGCAAGAGGCUUUAUGAACUACUUCAGUUGGAAAGCUGGAAUCUUGAAGGUUCUACCUUGGCCUUGGAGACUGGAAACUGGAAAAAUGGUUUGCACAAUUUGCAAGCAAGUGCAGAUGGAUUGUAUUCAAGAGAGGCCUUAUCACAAGCACAGCUUCUAUCAACCUUGGUGAAUCCCAAAGGAGAAACUUCUACUUGUCUGGCAGAAGAUACUAGUACUUCCCGGGAAGAUGGUGGGGUUAUUGGGUUGGAAUCUGAGCAAGAUGCUAUGGCUUCGUGUUCUUUUUCAGAACAAAGGCAGGGGACAAGAAAGUCUGUAAUUGGGUCAAAGAUAAAAAGAAUGUACAGAAAGCAGAAGUCAUUGCGUAAGAAGCUGUUCCCUUGGAGUUAUGAUUGGCAUAGAGAAGAGAUUCAUGUGGAUGAGCGAAUAGCAGAACCAGUGGGGCCCAUGAGGAGAUGCAAGUCAGGGCUUGUUGAUCAUGAUGCAGUUUUGAGGGCAAUGUCUCGAGCACUUGAAACCACUGAGGAUGCUUACAUGGAAAUGGUGGAGAAGGCACUUGACAAAAACCCAGAGCUUGCUCUGAUGGGAUCCUGUGUUCUAGUAAUGUUAAUGAAGGAUCAGGAUGUCUAUGUGAUGAACCUUGGUGAUAGCCGUGUGAUUUUAGCACAAGAGAGGCCAAAUGAUCGCCACCCGAAUCCAAAUAUUCUGAAGGAUGAUGUAAGGCAUCGGAACAGAUCAAGGGAAUCACUUGUACGUGUGGAGCUGGACAGAAUAUCAGAGGAGUCUCCAAUGCAUAACCAGAACAGCCAAAUCAACAAAAUCAACAAGAAUAAAGAGAUAUCUAUUUGCAGAUUAAAGAUGAGGGCUGUUCAACUUUCUACUGAUCAUAGCACAAGUAUUGAGGAGGUUGUAUACUGAUAUUUGAUGGUGGCACUAUAAGAAUUUUCUUACAUGGAUUUGACCAAACAGGCAUGGGUCGGCACAUUUACGUGUCAGGGCACUAGAAGCAUUUUUCUUGCUUCUUGCAGAUACCUUUUGAAACAGUUGUUUCUUCACAUAUUUGGAAUCUGUUGGCAGCACCAGUUUACAAGGAUUCACUGAAUAAUGCUUAGUCUUUGGGGCAUUUUUAAAUACUGAUAUCCAAUUUUGAUCUUUGUUGUCCCCGUAAGUUAAGUAACCUAAGUGCAUUCAUGGGAGUUCAUAUUUCUAAUUAGACAAGGUACUGAGGUCAAAGCUGUUAUGCUGAUGUCUACUUUGCUAGUACGCACAUCUGUGAGUCCAGGGUUUGGGACAUUUUUUUGUUGUCUUUUUCCUUGAUUUUUUUUCCAACUUUAUACAUUUUCUUGUCAUCAAGAGAAUGAAAUUUAUAUUAAGGGAAGAUGUCUGGAAAAGAUCCUGGGGUUCCACACUACUAUUUUGUUCAGCUGGAAGAUGUCCAAGUCAGCCUUUGAGCAGUGUUUUAAAAGGCACACCUCAGGCAUGCCUAGGUGCACCAUGUGCCUUGCGCCCUUGCCUGGAUCAAGGCACAAUUUCCUUUCAAAAGGUGUGUGCCUGAUGUGCCUUGUGACUCAGCCCAGGAAGUUCUGAGAGUCAAAGCAGAGCACGUUGAUGACAGCCAAGCCAUCUUGAAUGAUAGGGUGAAGGGACAAUUGAAGGUCACUAGAG